rnacentral:misc_RNA from 1 species
AAAGUAUAGAUGCAAAUGGAUAUCCUAUGGAAUUGUAUUUGAAAAGGUAAUCUAAAAAUACAUCAUUAGCUUGUCUCUACUUGCAAAAAUACUAGAGUACAAAACUUAAUAUUUUAAAUUCUAAGUUCAUUUUUGUUGGCAAGAGUCAUCUACAUCAAAGGUUGGAGUCAUUUAUAUCCUGCCUCACAUUCAUCAUAUCUAGAAGCUUCAGCUUAACCUUUUCAAAGGAAAUUUCUAGGUUCUUUAGCUCUUCUUUGGCAAAUCUAUUACAAAGGAAUAACCCACUAAACAGAUCAAAGCUAUCCUUCACAGUGACCUCUUUUAAUUGAACAAGUGACUCAAAGCCUUUUGUACUUAUAGGUGUGGAUUUGAUCUCCAUUUCUGACAAUACCCUGCCUAUGGUAUGAGUAAGAAAUUGACUUCUAGCCGCCAUUUUAUCAUGCUCUUCACAAGACAUCUCCAGCAUUCUGCAUCCCUCAUUUUCGAAAAUUCUCAGAAAACUUGAGCAUGUAGCUUCAUCCUUCACUCUAACCUUGUCGUAGACAAAGGCUAGAUCUUUCCACCCAUCUUUCGCACUCUCAGGUCCAAACAUAGGGUGAGUACACAGUAUAUCUGAUUCCUCUGGCAGUACCUAAAGGAUACAUAGUUACACAUGCCUUUUAAUACUCAUAGGAAUUUUGUUAGCCAUGAAGAUUACAAAACAUUCUCAACUCUAUUAGUACUUUCAAUAGAAGAUCUCUUGGGUACUCUUUCACCGAUAAAACGUCGGCAAAGAGGGUUUGCCGUUUUAGACCAUGGAGUGGCAUUGACUUGAGCACCUCUGGUAGAGAUAGGAUUGAUGUGCAAAUCAAGAUGACAUCGUUGUCUGCUUCAAGAAAUGUGAUUGCAUCCCUGAAGUAUGAGAUACCCAAGUCUUGACAGAGCUGAGAGUGAUCUGAACGAGAAGUUGCCCUCAAUGUAUGGCCUUGUUUGAUCAUGGUUUUCGCCAAGAACUGUGCAAAGGGGCCAAAGCCUAUUAUGCCUAUUUUAAGAGUUGAAGAUUGGCAAGAAGAUGAAGUAGACAUGGUGGUGGUGGUGGUGUUUCAG